AUAUUUUAAAAAUUGAUGCAUUUUAUUUUAUUUACACAUGCACAUUUUUAAGCUUAUUCUUCCACGAUUUGUUCUCCAGGACGUGACUGAAAUCGAGCCGUACAGCUCCUACACUCAGAAGGAAAAUUCACUUUAUUCAACAGGCAUAUUGCACAGCUGUCAAAUUAAUUCUGACUCUACAAAUAUUGUCUCCUGAUUAUCUCCUGAAUGAACAAAUUUACCAUCACAAUUCUUGGGUAUUUGGACUUUUUUUUUUCUUUCGUAUUUCAGAUAAUUUCCUUCUGAUUUAUUUAUGUUCGAUGGGUCUUGCCGUAUUCGGUUUAUUUCUCGUGUUCAUUAAUGUUGUCAUAUAAGUUAUUUUGUUUUUAGUUUCUUGUAUUAGUUUUUUGUGAAUUUGGGUUUAGUUCUCUGAGAUCACUGUUGAUCAUUUUCACUUAGCUUGUCGUUUCUCUGAGUUUUAGUUUAUCUUCCUGGACUCUCCCUCUGUUCAUCUGCCUUCUCUCUGCCUCAGUUGUCAUUUUCCACCCCUACCUCUUUGUAAAGACAUGUUCAUGUGUUCAUAUAACAUAUGUAUAUGUAUGUACAUCCUUUAACAUGUUUCCAGAAACCUCGGCAGCACGUCAUUUUUGCAUAAACGUCCAAAAACAAAUAAGCAAACACAAAGGAAAGUUGUCAGUUUUGGUAAUUUGGAAAAAAAAAAUAAAUCUCCAUAACGCUCAACACAAUUUUAACAGCGUUUUCAUUGUAUUUAUUCCUCUUCGUUAAUAUUUAUAUUGUGUAAAAAUAGCUUGGGGUAAACAUUUAACGUUGCUUGUUUUUAUUUAGUGUAUAAAAACACAUUGAAAACUUUUUUGAACUGUUCAAUGCCACAUGAAUUUAGAAAAAAUCAUUAAGAGUCAGUCUUGGUUAGACCAUGAUCAGCCUUAACCACCUUUAAGCCACAUUUAGACAUCAGUUGAUGACUUGAUGGGACAUGUUUUCAUCUUUCACUUUUUAACCACAUUGUUUAGACACAACAACUGGAGCAUGGUGUCUGUUCUCUGCCAUUUCAAAAAGGGUUUGCAAAAUUUUGCAAGUUUGUUACAUAACUCUUAUAGCUACUUGACAAAACCUCCGCAUUAUAAACGUCUUUUAAGUUUUUUUCUUAAAAAACAAAACACUUAAUGUUGGAACACUAAGUAAAUCAAAUUUCAAAAAAUCUGUCCUCUUCCCAUCAUACUUCCUGAACUGGUGGUUUGUUUCUGUCUCACCUUCAUGUGUCCUAAUGUAAUCAUCUUGCUCAUAUUUCCUCCUGGAUACUUUUAUUAUAGUAUAAUUUAAUAAUUCUAUGAAGAAAAAUAACACUUAUUUAGAUGUUAUUGUAUGUAGAUGGAAAAUAAAAAUACUUCUAUUGUACUGCGAGUUUAUUUUACUCUACAGGACUCGGAACUUUUUCUCUUUACGGCUCACAUUCAAGAUUAUAAAUAUGUGAAGACCACAAAGCAAACAUGACAUUUAGGUCUUCAGUUUUGCUAACCACCUAUUUUGCAGAAAACAAGGCAGGAAGUCCCAUCAGCCAUGACAACAUGCCGUUAUGCCACCGGCUCUGUUGUGAUCUAAGAGGUGAUGAUACAUUAAAAUAAAUUUCUUUAAUUUUUAAUAUAAGUAAUAAUUUGAAUUUUAAGUGAACUUUUGACCCUUUAUGACGUUCAAACUGUAACGAUGCGAUGGGCAAAGAUAAUUCAGGUUUGUGUUCUGUUGUUUCACAGUGAAGUCGUCAUGUAGACGCGUUUCCCUUUCAGAAAAAGUCUCACAUCCUCUUGAACCACUUUGAGAGAUGACAAUUUGUGGUUUGAGUCGCCCAAUAAACGUUCAGAGGACAGUUGAGACGGCCUCUGUUCAGUGCAGCAGCAGAUGUUGCAUCGAUAAGCAGGUGAGAUGGAUGCAGUGAGAUUAAGCCUUUUACUGCUUCUGCUGUGUUUUACGUGUUGUCUGGACUCUGAAGGUAACGUUGACAUUGAACAUUCUUUGAAAUGUAUUACAUCUGUUUUAAUUUUUAAAAGAUUCCAUUCUUACAGCAAUCAGACUAUCUCUCAUUCAUUGUUUUUACCUGUUUGCAGUGACUCUUGUUAAAACAAUCGGAAAAGAAUCUGAUUUUACUCCAAUCUGCACCAAUGAAACAUCAAAUAUCAUCAUGAUGAUUGUGUGUUGGAUCAGAACAGAGAGGAACAGUGGAGAGCAGUGCAGUCUGCUGUAUAGGGAUGGAGGUGACUUUGUUCAUGAGUGUGACUCCAGGUUCUCACUGAAAACCAGGAAUCAAACUGUGUUUCUGCACCUGACCAGUUUAACAGCAGCUGAUAGUGGGAACUACUCCUGUCAGUGUUUUAAUCUUAAUGGACCAUAUUUUCUCCAUCUCAUCAUUACAGUUAAAGACUCAUUUCCUAAUAAUUCACCAGAUGAAGUUAGGAACCUGUCUACAGUGACUCUUCCUUCUGCUUUGACUGCUGCAGUUCUCCUAAUUUUCAUUGUUUCAGUUAUUCUGGGAUUUAUUCACAGAAGACAUCAAAAUCAGUGAGAAACUAAUUCAAUAUUCAUAAUUUUGUUUUUUACUCAGACUCAAGUUCACAGCAUCAGCAGUAUUGUUUUUCAAUAAAGAAUUGUUCCGUUGUCUGUAGUUAAGAAUAAAUCUGACCGCCGUCUCUCUGCUGCCGCUUCUGUCUUCACUUUAGUUUUCAUAGCGCUGAGAGCCUGAGCUCUACUUUCAUUUCCUGUCUUACAUAAGUCACUGUAAUAAUAAUCUUUUUAUUUAUAACUGUUGUAUUUCCCAACAGAGAGCAACCAGAAUUGUGCAGACAUAAUCUGGAGGUAAUUUACAUAAAAAUAAAUGGAUGCAUUUUAUUUUAUUUACACAUGUAGAUUUUUAAGCUUGUUCUACGACGUUUUGUUCUGCAGGACUCGAUUGAAAUUGAGCCGUACAGCUCCUACACUCAGAAGGAAAAUUCACUUUAUUCAACAAGCAUAAUGCACAGCUGUCAAAUUAAUUCUGACUAUGCAAAUAUUUUCACUUGAACGGAUAAAUUUGCCUUCACAGCCCUUGGCUGUAGUUUAAUUUGUGUUUAUGGUCAUUUCCUUGUGAUGUAUUUAUGUUGAAUAUGUCUUGCCAUACUCAGUAAAUGUCCUUGUAUUCAUUAAUGUUGGAAUGUUAUUGCCAUGUAAGCUAAUUCCUUUGUGUUUCGUUUCUUGUUGUGUUCUGUUAUUUGUGCAGUUGGAUGUAGUUCUCUGUUGAACUGUUGAACUUUUCCACUUCAUUUGUAGUUUAUCUCAGUUUUAGUUCCUGUUCCUGGACUCCCUCCCUCCCAGCUGAUGUUGAACAGCUGCUUGGCUCAGCUGUUCAACAUCAACUUUGAUUAGUUCGUCUGGUUUAUCUGUUAUUUUCCACUCCUGCUACAGAAUAAAAGCUCACUGGUUCUCAUUGCUCAUUGCUGGAAUCUUCGGUUACACUUUCUCUUUCUCUUCCACCGGUUCCAUGUUCUUUUAUUUUUAUAGAGUUCUGUAAUUUUUUAUUUUUUUCAUUUUUCCAUCAUUAAAAACUCUUGACUUUAUG